UUGUACGCAAACAGUUGAACGUGUAGCCUUUCAAAGUAUACUCCAUUUGAUAGUGUGAUAGCACAUCACCAAGAGUUAUUACAUUGUCUUAAUGUUUAAACUUAAUGUUUCAUUAAGUUGAAACAUUAAGACAAUUACAAAAAAAAAAAAUAAUAAUAAUAAAUAAAUAUUACAAACAAUAAGAAAAAAUGUUUUUUUUAUUUAUUUUUUUUUGUUGUUGUUUUUGUUUUUUUAAAUCAAACACAUCUGGCAGGAGACCGUAUACUAUGACAGACCUGUAACAUGAUCUGGGCAUUUUUAGAAUGUCUGCAUCAGCCGAUAGUUAUGUUGCUUCAAAUGACAUCAUGGAGUUUCUGUCAGGAGGUAUUUAAAAGGUUUUUUCCCCCCCAGUACAUUCAAAGCAGCAGCAGCAGAUCUCAGAGUAGUGGAUGUUUCUUCUUUUCAUCUCAUCACAAGAUAAUACAAAGGAAAAUGUAAGAGAAAUUGAUGAAUGGGAGAAUAUAUAUGGAGCAUCACAAACUGCAGGAGAAUUAAACAAAUGGAGAAGAGAGGAACAGAAAAAUGGCAAACAAAAAGGACAAAAAGUUAUGUUUUAAAGAAGCAAAGACACUGUUAAUCAGGCAGAACAGCAUUAAUAGCGGCAAACCAAACUUUUCUGACAUUGCAGAGCUUCAGAAGAAUCACAAACAAGGAACUAGCAGUUCUGUUCAUCUAACCAGCAGAAUAUUCUCCAUCAUGUUAGGCCACUGAUUAAACAAUGUAUAUCUGAUAUAUGGUUACAGUAAUAUACCAGUUUAUUCUAUUUAAAUGUAAAAUCCAUUCAUACACAUUCAUCUUACAUACAUUCAGUAGAUGAAUGUGUAUAAGUGGAUAUUUUUAAAAUCACAUGUUUGGAUUUUAUGAUUACACUACUUUUGAAAAAUCUGAUCUGAAUGUGACUUUUACAGUAAUCAUUGAUGUAAUCAGCCUUGUUGCUGAUGUUACUGUAUGAUUUAAUGUACAUAAUUUUGAGAAUGAAACUUUUACUGUAACAAAUCUAGAAACAUUGUCCAAACUUCCUAAAAAAAAAAG